UACGGGGGGGGUAAGCGUUGUUCGGAAUCACUGGGCGUAAAGGGCGUGUAGGCGGUCAAGUAAGUGGAAUGUGAAAGCCCCCGGCUUACCCGGGGAUCUGCAUCCCAAACUGCUUGGCUUGAGUACGGGAGAGGAUGGAGGAAUUCCUGGUGUAGCGGUGAAAUGCGUAGAUAUCAGGAGGAACACCGGUGGCGAAGGCGUCCAUCUGGCCCGAUACUGACGCUGAGGCGCGAAAGCUAGGGGAGCGAACGGG
rnacentral:rRNA from 1 species